CCCUUAGAUGUUCUGGGCCGCACGCGCGCUACACUGAUUCAUGCACUAAGUAUAUAACUUUGGUAGAAAUGCUUGGGUAAUCUUUGAAACUGAAUCGUGCUGGGGAUUGGAGCUUGUAAUUAUUCUCCAUGAACGAGGAAUUCCUAGUAAACGCGAGUCAUCAGCUCGCAUUGAUUACGUCCCUGCCCUUUGUACACACCGCCCGUCGCACCUACCGAUUGAAUGGUCCGGUGAAAUCUUCGGACCGGGCGAUAGUCAGCAAUGACCGUUGCCUGGAAAGUUGCUUAAACCUUACCAUUUAGAGGAAGGUGAAGUCGUAACA
rnacentral:rRNA from 1 species